GAUGAACGCUAGCGGCAGGCCUAACACAUGCAAGUCGAGGGGUAACAGGAGUGCUUGCACUCGCUGACGACCGGCGCACGGGUGCGUAACGCGUAUACAAUCUACCUUGUACUGGGGGAUAGCCUUUAGAAAUGAAGAUUAACACCCCAUAGUAUUCAGAGUUCGCAUGGACAUUGAAUUAAAGGUUACGGUACAAGAUGAGUAUGCGUCCUAUUAGCUAGAUGGUGUGGUAACGGCACACCAUGGCAACGAUAGGUAGGGGCCCUGAGAGGGGGAUCCCCCACACUGGUACUGAGACACGGACCAG
rnacentral:rRNA from 1 species